CAUCACUGAAGUCCACAUCCGUGAUUUGUACCAAGCAUCAGAAAACCCAAAAACAACUGCCCUGAAAAUAUCUUGAGCUCAAGGUAGAAUCUUCUUUUUUGGGGGCCAAGGCAGAGCUCCACCUCUCAUACGUGCCUCAGAAACAAGCGAAAACGCAAGCCGGAUCAAACGGCGGCCAGUGAGGAAGGUGUGAGAACCCCCGCGUCGUCGGGAACCUGGGUAGAACUUCCAGGGGCGCCAGGCUACCGCUUCUCCUUCUCCCUCAGAGUGCCCCGGCCGGGACAGAGGCCCACGGCCUCUUGAGGCUGUUGGCAACAAGGCACAACCUAUGCUCGGGGCAGCCCAGCAGGUGGGUGAGGCCAGAGAAGUCAAGCUUACAAACCUACCACCGAUAGAAACAGGACGGAAAGAAGAGAAUUCCAUCUAUGGAAUUACAAAGCGAGUGAACGAGAAGGUACGGAUUCCACUCGUCAGAGUUUAGAUACAAAAUAACCAUAACGGGCCGCGGUCCCCUCCCAAUUACCCGCGCCGUUGCUUUGAGAACGUAUCCCAAGUGAGAUCGUUUCAUAGCACGCCUCUGUGGUGUGUUUAGUCACUAAGUCCUGUGACUAGAGUUCGGCGGGGAACCCUUCGUGCAGAACUUCUCCAGCUGGGAAAGGUGCUGCGUUCCUGAUGACGGCGUCACGGGCAGAGACGGGAGGUAUGUCCCGGGCUCCGAAUCCAAGGCCAGCCUGGCCGGGGCCGCCUCAGGCUGCGCGUCCCGUCCACGACGCACGUGGCCACUCAGGGCCUCAGGAAGGCCGUUCGUUUAUUGCCUAUUUUCCGUAGUAACCGCCCAGAAAAGUAGCCACUAUGUCUGUCGUAAGUGCCAGAGUAAACAGAGCCCACGGCGAUGAGAUCCA